UACGUAGGCAGCGAGCGUUGUUCGGAGUUACUGGGCGUAAAGGGUGUGUAGGCGGUUGUUUAAGUUUGGUGUGAAAUCUCCCGGCUCAACUGGGAGGGUGCGCCGAAUACUGAAUGACUAGAGUGCGGGAGAGGAAAGUGGAAUUCCUGGUGUAGCGGUGAAAUGCGUAGAUAUCGGGAGGAACACCUGUGGCGAAAGCGGCUCACUGGACCACAACUGACGCUGAGGCGCGAAAGCGUGGGGAGCAAACAGGG
rnacentral:rRNA from 1 species